UUUAUUUCUUUUUUAAAAAAAUUAUAAUUUUUUUAAAUAAUCAGUUUUUUGUUUUUAUUUUUCAAAUAAUUUUAUAAUUAUUUUUUCAUAAUUUAUAUCCUCGCCAUUUUUUAUUUUCAUUUUUUAAAAAAAUUUAUAAUUCUUCUUAAUAAUUAUUUUUUAAAAAAAAUAUUUUUUUAAUAAUUUAUUUCUUUUUUAAAAAAAUUAUAAUUUUUUUAAAUAAUCAGUUUUUUUUAUUUUUUAAAUAAUUUUAGAAUUAUCUUUUAAUAAUUUCCUCAAUGUCAUUUGUAUAUACUUUUAAAAAAAUAAAUAUAAUUAAUUUUUAAUAAUUAUUGGAUCCACAAUGCCACAUGUCAGCUUCCAAUUAGCUCAUUUUGCCACGUCAUCGCGUGUGUGCAACACACACUUUGAGUUUUUUGCUGAUAGGGCAAAAAAGACUCACUUGGAACAAAAUGUAGGGGGUUUAGAGGCCUGAUAGGAACAGACAUUAGUUUAGGUUUCUAAGUGAAUUUUGGCAACAAGUUUGAGUGUCUAUCGAUGGCUUUCAACUUUUUGCUUCUUUCCUCUUGGGUUAUGCUUCUUUGAAAAACAGCCACAAUGCUCAUUUCUAUUUUACUUGCAAACUAAUCAGUCCAACAUUUGUUCAUGUGUGAUAUGACUGGCUUUUAUGUCAUUUUGGUGUAUUUUUUUUUUUUAUGUUUCAUCAAAACCCACUCGUGUAGAAACCAAUCCACACGAAAUGCAUAUUGAUCAAUUUUUGAACUUUGCAAAUUAUGUGUUCCGAAAUGAUUCUAAUUCCUUACCUUUGUUUCGUUUGACAUGUGAAAUCCGGGUUGAGUCCACUAUUGGACUCCAUUUUCCCUUGCGUCCUCGAGUUGGUUCAAAACUCAACAAAGUUCCUCUCGAGUCAAGCCCUAACGCAGCAGCUCAAAUGUGCUAAAAUGUGAAGAAACAGGCAGAUAUACACUCAUAUACUCCAAAAUACAGCAGGUGUACGAAAUCAGUACCUACACAUGGUCGGGUGGUGUAUAUAAAAAAAUAAAACAAAAUACGCAGGUUUCUACACUGGUAUAUCAUGUAUACACAGUAAUAUACAGAAAAAAUGCAGGAAAAAGGAGCUGUAACAUACAACCAGUAUACACAGAGCUGAAAGGACUGAAAAUCCACAAAAAUAAGCCCAAAAAACUGGGCAGAUUCUAAUGGGCUUAAAUCAUAAACCUUUCUUCUUUAAUUUAUUUGUAAGUUCAUAUUUGAUUAUUUGUUGUAUUAAAUUCUUAAAUUUGAUUAACCUUAAUAAAUCUCCUCUUUGAAUUGUUAUUUUUGUUUAUCUCUGUAUUUUUUCUUUGAGUACUGUUUAUCACAUAGUACAA
rnacentral:lncRNA from 1 species